rnacentral:tRNA from 2 species
GGCGCCAUCGUCUAGAGGCCUAGGACGUCAGCUUUUCAAGCUGAAGAUCGCGGGUUCGAAUCCCGCUGGCGCUGCCA